rnacentral:rRNA from 1 species
UCGGAAUCACUGGGCUUAAAGGGCGCGUAGGCGGGUACUCAAGUCUAUGGUGAAAUCCGGCAGCUUAACUGUCGAACUGCCGUGGAUACUGGGUAUCUCGAGGAAGGUAGGGGCAUGCGGAACUAUUGGUGGAGCGGUGAAAUGCGUUGAUAUCAAUAGGAACUCCGGUGGCGAAGGCGGCAUGCUGGACCGUUUCUGACGCUGAGGCGCGAAAGCCAGGGGAGCAAACGGG